GGGAGUGACAAAGAAGUGAACAUCAGGAUGAUGACGCUUCGCAGGAAUACACCGGGACGGUGUUUCAGGAUGAAUCAGGGAAAUAUGCUGGACGCAUAGCAAGGACACCUCCAGGAAGGAGAACGUGAGCCGAACAGGAUGCUCGGCGGGUCAGGAAGGCCAGGGACUCGCUUAUGGACAAGUGUUAUCGCAUCGGGGUGGUGUGAGCAGGACGCGUCGUUUAAGGAUGAACAGGUCAGGAGACCGACAGGAAUAGUUGUCAUGGAUGAGCAGGGAGCAUCAUAAAAAGUAGCUGGAUGGCUGCGAAACGAACCGGGGGCACUGUUUAACAGUGCCCCCUUUUUUUGUU
rnacentral:other from 1 species